UGUGCACAAAUACCGAGCACAGUAACUGACUUAAUUACAAGCAUGACUUUACACGUCCCCUUAAUACAACCACAGUUUCUGUGUAAUCUCUCCCUCUUUCUCACUUUGGGCUUUGACAGAUGGGCUCUGUCAGACUGAGCAGCCGUGAUCCAAGGUGUUACCGCUCUCAGCUCUCCUCUGCCCCGUGCUGCCGUGAGCUGCUACUCUGGAGCAGGGUGCCAGGAGCCGCCGUGAUCCUCUCUGUCACUGCAGCAGUCGGGUGGCUCUGCAGCUUGGAGCACUGAUGAGCCGAGAGCAGCAGAUUUGUCAAAGAACUCUAACACGACAGGCAAAGGCAAUCCACUUAUGUAUAGUCUUGACCAACAGACUUUGCUACCAUGAACUCUGCUUUUCCCCCCCCUACAUUUCCUCAAAUCUGACCUUCUUCACUAUUUUGGCUUAAGACUUCAUUCUUCAGGGUGCAAAGAAGAUAUACUAACUCUCAGGGUUUCAUGGGCUCUGGUCCUGGAUGUCCACACCACAGACUUGUUAGUUUGAACUCGGUUUCUUGUUGAAAAAUGAAAGUAGUUCUGCUGGCAGGAAAAUGUGGUUGUGACACAGAGAGUAACUCCUUCCAUAAGGUGCAUCCUGUCUCAGUCCUCCUAUCUGAGAAAGUCCUCCAGCAAUAAUACCUCAGUAGGCCAUGAAAGGGAGCCAAGGGAACAGCCUUUAAUGAACAGGAGAUAAGCACUGCAGGAGCACAGCACUGAGAGAUUGAGACAAGCUUGGAGCCACCACAUCCCAAUUCCACUACACCUCUCCACCCGCAUGCAAGGGACAUAGAGCUAGGACUGCCAUGCUCUGCUCAGCAACAGCCCUUCUGUCCCAGGUCACCUCCCUGGUGACUGAGAGUGGGAUGCAUCCUUACUGCAGCCUCUGAAUCCUGAGUGAGACUCGGUGAUGCUGUACUGCUCUCCUGACAGUCUUGAAUCCAGUGCUUCCCUCCCACUUGUGUGUCAUGGUGCAUUGCCUCAUGUGGGAACUGCUCAUGUGGGAAAAGCAUUUUCUGGAAGUGCUACUAGCUUUUAAUUUCUCACAUUGUGUGGGCAUACCUAGUUGUGACCACUGCAAGAGUCAACACCCUGGAGUUUUGUUGUAUGCUGACAAGGCCUUUCCCAUUUAUUUGAACCCUUUUUUGAAGGAUAAGCCACAAUGUGCCAAGGCUUUCAGAUACUGCAAAAUGGCAGCAGGCAAUAUGCUCCAGAGGUAUAAGAUAAAUAUUGUCCAUAGACCUGCACGGGAGGGUGAUCAUCUCACAUGGGCUGUAUGAGCAGGAAGAUGCCGUGUGUUAAAUAGAUGAGAAACUGUGGCUUGUGUCAGGAGGCCCUUCUUGUUAUGAGGAGCUAAGUGUUCUGGGCUAACAAAUUCUAUGCAACUGCAUGUGCCACCUUAUGCACAUCAUGGACAUGGAAGGUCUAUGCCAGUGUGAUGGUCUGUACAAUGUGAAUAUAAGGUGGUCCCUACCAACUGACCAUGGAUGGAUAUCUGUUCCUUUAAAGAUUUCAAAGACUGCAUGAAGAAAAUCAUGGAAGCAAACCAAAUAGUUUUCUUAUAAACUAAAUACCAAAAUUUUAUUUUUGAGGAUUAUUUCCUCCUAUAUUAAUAGAAAUGUUAUCCAAAGAAGGCAAAAAAAAGUUAAUCAUUACUUAAAUCUAUUGUGUUUCUGGUUUGAGUUCAAAAGAAGGCAUCGAGAAAAAUAAGAGGACUGUGUUGAAAUUACUACUGUUGUUAUUAAAACAACUCUUUUGAGCCUGUGUCUACAUUGGAGGGAGUAAUAAACAUUUCAAAAAUCAAGGGCUGAUUUACAAAGGCUGAGCAACUGUAGUAAGAAUUUCAAAGGAGCUCAUGUUCUAUUCAAACUAUGAUUAAUCUGUCUUUUGUUCUUAAAUUUAAAUGCUAUCAAUUUUAAUUUUAGGAAAUGUUACUAUAGAACCAGGAGUAAAGCCAAUACACUAUUAUUUUCCCUGUACAAUAUCUCUUCAGGUGGUCAGGUUUGGCACAGGGAAAGUGUGAUUAUGCUUUGUUUAUCUACUAUAGCAUUUUUAGAAAAUGCAAACACAGAUCUCUUAAAUAUUCAGUAGUUUCCAUUCCGAAUAGAAAAAUGUAAAUAUCCUAUCUGAUUUAUUAAAGAUAUCAACAAAGCAAGCAUAAUCACAAUUUAAGUGAUUUGUUCAUGGUUAACAUUCAUUUCAGUCUCUCCUUAAUCCCAAAUCAUAAUUGAAUCUAACUAACUUUUAUCUGACACCAUGAAGAUUGAGUCUGUUCUAAGAAUGUUCACUCUGUCAUUGAGAGAAAUGGAUAUCCUGAGCUCUGAAGUCCACUUCGAAGACAAAUAAUCUUGAACCACGGCAUUUAAUAAACAGUAUUUGUAUCACCCCCCAAAAGUAAAUGGAUUUGGAGAUUAAGUGAUGAUUGCUAGUAAAAACUUAGAGGUUUUUCUUUACAUGUGGUUAUUAUCCAGAACCAUCUGUAUUCAAGCUGUUUCAGAAUAUAGAGAUAACAUAGAGUAAAAUUAUCCUCAUGACAAUGAAAAGAAUUUAUUUAUGUAUGGCAUAUUCCUUAAUUGUGUGAAACAAUCAGAGGAAUAUUAAUUACCUUCUUCAUGAAGAAACCAGCAGUUCAGUUACUUUUAGAAAAUAGUAAAAAGCGCCUCCCUGAUUCAGUACAGAAUUCAUACAAGCCUGUGAAAAUUUGUAUUAAUUCAAUAUAUCAUUGUUAUAAAAAUUGCAGUGUACAUAGUUAGCUUAUGCAAUAAAGUGUAAUUUAACGCUUUUAUUUUCAAA